CCUACGGGAGGCAGCAGUGAGGAAUAUUGGUCAAUGGGCGCGAGCCUGAACCAGCCAAGUCGCGUGAGGGAAGACGGUCCUAUGGAUUGUAAACCUCUUUUGUCGGGGAGCAAAAGACGCCACGCGUGGCGUUCCGAGAGUACCCGAAGAAAAAGCAUCGGCUAACUCCGUGCCAGCAGCCGCGGUAAUACGGAGGAUGCGAGCGUUAUCCGGAUUUAUUGGGUUUAAAGGGUGCGUAGGCGGUCCGUUAAGUCAGCGGUAAAAUUGCGGGGCUCAACCCCGUCGAGCCGUUGAAACUGGCAGACUUGAGUUGGCGAGAAGUACGCGGAAUGCGCGGUGUAGCGGUGAAAUGCAUAGAUAUCGCGCAGAACUCCGAUUGCGAAGGCAGCGUACCGGCGCCAGACUGACGCUGAGGCACGAAAGCGUGGGGAUCGAACAGGAUUAGAUACCCGUGUAGUC
rnacentral:rRNA from 1 species